UGUAAAUAGCACGUACGGAAUUUCAAAUAAGACAUUGAUACAUUACAACACUUGCCGUCAGUAUUUGAAUAUAUUGAUUAAGAAGGUUGUCAGCAAGAUGAAAAAGGACAAGUAUGCAGUUCAAAAUUCAAAAUGUGGAUAAGCUGAGGUUCAAGGUCUUACCUUUGCAGAUUUUCAUAUUUUGCAUGAAUGAAUUCAAAGGUUAUAUGAUGGACAGCAGAGAAAGAAAAAAACAACUUUUCAAUUAUCCUGCUCCUGGAUUAAUGUAAAACAUCUUGUUUUUCGAAGGAUUGAAAUUCACCACCUAGAAUAAAUGGAGAAAACAUAGAAACAAGACCAGAAUAAAUUCAAAGACAAAAGUUGGAUCAGUUAUUAUUUUCAUCACUCAGUCAAUGAUUUGAAGCUCUUUUAAAUACAAAAAAAUAUUGAAACCACAAUAAUGUCAAAGUUCUGUGCUGAAUGACCAAAAAGUGGACUAUACCAUCAAACAAUGCUGGAUGAUAAGAAACUAUUAAUGUUUUGUGUUGAGGGAUAUUGUGAAAAAAAUAGAUUUACUUAAAUAGCUGCUAGUAUGUUAAGCCUAACAAUAGAGGUUUUAUUGAU